rnacentral:rRNA from 1 species
GCCUAAUACAUGCAAGUCGAGCGAACAGACGAGGAGCUUGCUCCUCUGACGUUAGCGGCGGACGGGUGAGUAACACGUGGAUAACCUACCUAUAAGACUGGGAUAACUUCGGGAAACCGGAGCUAAUACCGGAUAAUAUAUUGAACCGCAUGGUUCAAUAGUGAAAGACGGUUUUGCUGUCACUUAUAGAUGGAUCCGCGCCGCAUUAGCUAGUUGGUAAGGUAACGGCUUACCAAGGCAACGAUGCGUAGCCGACCUGAGAGGGUGAUCGGCCACACUGGAACUGAGACACGGUCCAGACUCCUACGGGAGGCAGCAGUAGGGAAUCUUCCGCAAUGGGCGAAAGCCUGACGGAGCAACGCCGCGUGAGUGAUGAAGGUCUUCGGAUCGUAAAACUCUGUUAUUAGGGAAGAACAAAUGUGUAAGUAACUAUGCACGUCUUGACGGUACCUAAUCAGAAAGCCACGGCUAACUACGUGCCAGCAGCCGCGGUAAUACGUAGGUGGCAAGCGUUAUCCGGAAUUAUUGGGCGUAAAGCGCGCGUAGGCGGUUUUUUAAGUCUGAUGUGAAAGCCCACGGCUCAACCGUGGAGGGUCAUUGGAAACUGGAAAACUUGAGUGCAGAAGAGGAAAGUGGAAUUCCAUGUGUAGCGGUGAAAUGCGCAGAGAUAUGGAGGAACACCAGUGGCGAAGGCGACUUUCUGGUCUGUAACUGACGCUGAUGUGCGAAAGCGUGGGGAUCAAACAGGAUUA